rnacentral:rRNA from 1 species
GACGAACGCUGGCGGCGUGCUUAACACAUGCAAGUCGAACGGAAAGGCCCUGCUUUUGUGGGGUGCUCGAGUGGCGAACGGGUGAGUAACACGUGAGUAACCUGCCCUUGACUUUGGGAUAACUUCAGGAAACUGGGGCUAAUACCGGAUAGGAGCUCCUGCUGCAUGGUGGGGGUUGGAAAGUUUCGGCGGUUGGGGAUGGACUCGCGGCUUAUCAGCUUGUUGGUGGGGUAGUGGCUUACCAAGGCUUUGACGGGUAGCCGGCCUGAGAGGGUGACCGGCCACAUGGGUACUGAGAUACGGCCCAGACUCCUACGGGAGGCAGCAGUGGGGAAUAUUGCACAAUGGGCGGAAGCCUGAUGCAGCAACGCCGCGUGCGUGAUGACGGCCUUCGGGUUGUAAACCGCUUUCGCCUGUGACGAAGCGUGAGUGACGGUAAUGGGUAAAGAAGCACCGGCUAACUACGUG